ensembl:lncRNA
GAGCAGAGCUAUGAAAUAGGAGCGGGGCAGGUGCACAGCCGUUAUCGCGAGAGUAUUAGCAGGAAACCCGGAAAGCGACCGUUAGAGAUCCCGCUGUGCCAAUGGUCAGCCUAGCAGUGGUGGGACUCGCGGCAGAAAGUGUGGUGAGAGGCAGAUUACAGCCUUCUCCCCGGGGCCCUCCAGGUGCUCUGGCCUCAGGCCAGCAGGUGAACUGGGGGGCCGUGGGGACAGGCCAGGGGCUGUGUCUCUCACACGGCUGCCUGUUGGUCGGGUCCAAGCCUGGAAGUGACCGUGAACCUCUUCCCGCUCCUCGCCUGCGAGACUUGAUGGCGACGUUAGUCGUCUCCACUGGUCUCCGUCCACAGAAGCCCCAGCAGCUGAAGGAUACACACACUGCCAUUCAGGCUUCGCACCGUGAAGAAUGGAGUGAUGGGAUAUCAGGACAUCUUGGAUGACAGCGACAGUGAGAAAAAAGGUUACUGAACCAUUUUUGGAUUUGUUUGGCAAUGAGUUUGGAGAUCUCAGA